UACAGAGGGUGCAAGCGUUAAUCGGAAUUACUGGGCGUAAAGCGUGCGCAGGCGGUUUUGUAAGACAGGCGUGAAAUCCCCGAGCUCAACUUGGGAAUGGCGCUUGUGACUGCAAGGCUAGAGUAUGUCAGAGGGGGGUAGAAUUCCACGUGUAGCAGUGAAAUGCGUAGAUAUUACUCGGAAGGCCAAAGGCGAAGGCAGGUUACUGGUACGCAACUGACGCUGAUGCACGAAAGCGUGGGGAGCAAACAGG
rnacentral:rRNA from 1 species